UUUUUUGGAGAGUUUGAUCCUGGCUCAGGACGAACGCUGGCGGCGUGCCUAAUACAUGCAAGUCGAGCGAACCAAUAAGAAGCUUGCU
rnacentral:rRNA from 1 species